rnacentral:rRNA from 1 species
GACGAACCGUGCGAACGUUGUUCGGAUUCACUGGGCUUAAAGGGCGCGUAGGCGGCUUGCCAAGUCAGGGGUGAAAUCUUUCGGCUCAACCGGAAAAGUGCUUCUGAUACUGGCGGGCUGGAGGAGGGUAGGGGCAGAUGGAACUUCCGGUGGAGCGGUGAAAUGCGUAGAUAUCGGAAGGAACGCCGGUGGCGAAAGCGAUCUGCUGGACCCUUUCUGACGCUGAGGCGCGAAAGCCAGGGGAG